rnacentral:rRNA from 1 species
CCUACGGGAGGCAGCAGUCGAGAAUCAUUCACAAUGGGGGAAACCCUGAUGCUGCGACGCCGCGUGGGGGAAUGAAGGCCUUCGGUUUGUAAACCCCUGCAACGUGGGAGCAAAUUAAAAAGAUAGUACCACAAGAGGAAGAGACGGCUAACUCUGUGCCAGCAGCCGCGGUAAUACAGAGGUCGCAAGCGUUGUUCGGAGUCACUGGGCGUAAAGCGAGCGUAGGCUGUUUCGUAAGUCGUGAGUGAAAGGCGCGGGCUCAACCCGCGGACGGCACAUGAUACUGCGAGACGAGAGUGAUGGAGGGGGAACCGGAAUUCUCGGUGUAGGAGUGAAAUGCGUAGAGAUCGGGAGGAACACUCGUGGCGAAGGCGAGUUCCUGGACAAUAACUGACGCUGAGGCACGAAGGCCAGGGGAGCGAAAGGGAUUAGAUACCCCAGUAGUC